GGACGAACGCUGGCGGCGUGCUUAACACAUGCAAGUCGAACGGAAAGGCCCUGCUUUUGUGGGGUGCUCGAGUGGCGAACGGGUGAGUAACACGUGAGUAACCUGCCCUUGACUUUGGGAUAACUUCAGGAAACUGGGGCUAAUACCGGAUAGGAGCUCCUGCUGCAUGGUGGGGGUUGGAAAGUUUCGGCGGUUGGGGAUGGACUCGCGGCUUAUCAGCUUGUUGGUGGGGUAGUGGCUUACCAAGGCUUUGACGGGUAGCCGGCCUGAGAGGGUGACCGGCCACAUUGGGACUGAGAUACGGCCCAGACUCCUACGGGAGGCAGCAGUGGGGAAUAUUGCACAAUGGGCGGAAGCCUGAUGCAGCAACGCCGCGUGCGGGAUGACGGCCUUCGGGUUGUAACCCGCUUUCGCCUGUGACGAAGCGUGAGUGACGGUAAUGGGUAAAGAAGCACCGGCUAACUACGUG
rnacentral:rRNA from 1 species